rnacentral:rRNA from 1 species
UACAGAGAGUGCGAGCGUUAAUCGGAAUUACUGGGCGUAAAGCGCGCGUAGGCGGCUUUGCAAGUCGGAUGUGAAAUCCCCAGGCUUAACCUGGGAACUGCAUUCGAGACUGCAUUGCUAGAGUAUGGGAGAGGGAAGUGGAAUUUCCGGUGUAGCGGUGAAAUGCGUAGAUAUCGGAAGGAACAUCAGUGGCGAAAGCGACUUCCUGGACCAAUACUGACGCUCAUGUGCGAAAGCGUGGGGAGCAAACAGG